UUUACUGUUUACAAUUACAACUGUGUGUUAAUAAAUUGGGAUAUGUACAAAGAAGACUUGGACCUAGUUUUAGUUAAAAAUUUUGUUGAAGAUAGUAAUUUGGGUUUAGAGCUUCUUUUUCUGAAAUCACAAAGAAAACUACAUAGUGUUAUCAAAAGGAAGAUAUAAGGAGUAAAUUUCUACUUAAUAAUUUCAGAUAUAAGUACAUACAAAUAAUGAAGUAAGCAUGUAUAUAUUUUCCCCUUGUACAUAGCAGAAUUUCAAAACAAACAUCCUUUUGAUUUUUUUUUUUGUCUCAAUAGGAUUUAGUUGAAAGAGAAGGUGAUUUGGUGCCUGAUGGUUCUAGGAACAAAUACUUGCUAUCACAGUUAUUGUGUGGCCUUAAGGCAGUACUUUAAUCCUUAGGCCUCUGUCUUUCCUUGAAUCAGAUGGAGAUAAAAACCUACCUCACAGUGUUGUAGUAAGAGUUGCAAGGAAGGCAGUACUUAUAUUAAGGGUUGAAUAAAUGGUUAUUACAUUUAAGUGAGACCAGAAGCCUGGGAAAUUAAGGCAUCAAGGGAAAAAUGAAACAGAAGGAUAAGCUAUAAAGAUUAAAAAUGGUCAAUAAAAGUGAUUGAGGGAAUAAAGAUGGUAUUGAACCAAGAUAGGAAAAUGUAAGACCACUCAAUAGCAAAGUUUAUCUAUAUUCUGACUCUUCUGAGUUUUGGAAUGGUGUUUUCGGGGAAAAAAAAAAAGCACAAUGAGAAGAGAAAAAAAAAAAGAAAAAAAAGCAACAAUAUAAAACUAUAGGGAAAUUAAAACCAAGAAAAUUAGAUCAAAUAUGGAACUUUUAUCAAAAAGCAGUUGAGCAAUGUGAAGAGAACAAUAUGAUAAAACAAAAACUCUGGGAAGUCUAGAAUAGAAAAGAAUAGAAAAACAAAGAAACUGGGAAAGACAGGAAAAAAGCAAACAGAGAAAAUGUUGAAGUGUUAGUAUGUUCAAGCUAGUGGAACACACACAACUGUGCAUUUAAUUUUGACAGCAAAAGAUACCUGAAUUGAGCCUGAUUUACUAAAAGAAAAAGGCAUACUAGUAUGAGAAAGCAAUGAUUUUUUUUUUUUAAAUUCUCAAGUUAAAACAGAAUGUAUUUAAGCAUAAUAUAUGUCUGUGUUUUAAAAUGCAUAUGGAAUUCUGGGUUUGGGGCAGGGAGACAUCACUUGAUUUCACUAUAAAUUUACCCAUCUGGAUACUAGAAGUGAGACAUUUAUUGUUUACUCAUUCAUCCAAUCAGAGAAGAUAAAUUUUUCAAAUUGCAGUUAUAUCAACAGAUACAGCAGAGAUCUUAAUUAGUUAAAAAUCUUCAUAAGUGUCAUUUGGCUGAACGGAUAAAAUAAGAGCAACAAAAAUAUCUCCAGCCACACAACAAGCCAUCUAAAAAUUCUCUGGGGAUCUAUUCCUCACUUCUAUAGCAAAGUAACACAUGUAACUCUACCACAAAUCUAAAGGCAAAUAGAUGUUCCUGUUCACUUUUUCUUACAAGAAAGCAUCUGCUUACAACGUUUGUUUGUUUGUUUGUUUGUUUUUUGGCUGUUAUUUUUCUCUUGAAUGUUCCAAUUCAAAAACAUCACCCUACCACCUUUUUUGCUUGUUAAAUCUCUCUGUCCUUAGGGCUACAUCUCUAUGCACCAGAGAAACGAUCUCAUUAACAAAGUAGUUCUGUGUGUCCUUAAUACUGAGGCCCUAGACUGCAGCUGCAGGCAGUUCUCUACUCAGCCCGCAGUGCCGAGUGACACAGACAGGCGACAUCAUCUGAGUACUAACUUCUACUACAUCCAGACAGACUGCGAGAACCAUUUCCAAAUCGUGGGAAGACGUUAGAGAACCAAAGGAGACGUGAGUUCUACCCUUGGCUGUGAAGAUCCCCUGGAGAAGAAAAUGGAAACCCACUCCAGUAUUUUUGCCUGGAGAAUUCCAUAGACAGAAGAGCCUGGCAAUCUACAGUCCAUGGGGUCGCAGAGUUGGACACUACUAAGCAACUAAGAUCAUGGCAUCCAGUACCAUCAUUUCGUGGCAAAUAGAAGGGGAAACAAUGGAAAGAGUGACAGACUUUGUUUUCCUGGGCUCCAAAAUCUUUGCAGAGGGUGACUGCAGCCAUGAAAUUAAAAGACACUUGCUCCUCAGAAAAAAGCAAUGACAUACCUAGACAGUAUAUUAAAGAGCGGAGACAUUACUUUGUCAACAAAGGUCUGUCUAGUCAAAGCUAUGGGUUUUCCAGUAGUCAUGUAUGGAUGUGAGAGUUGGACUGUGAAG
ensembl:lncRNA